rnacentral:rRNA from 1 species
UACAGAGGUCUCAAGCGUUGUUCGGAUUCAUUGGGCGUAAAGGGUGCGUAGGUGGCGCCAUAAGUCGGGUGUGAAAUCUCCGGGCUUAACCCGGAGCGGCCAAGUGAUACUGUCGUGCUAGAGUGCGGAAGGGGCUACUGGAAUUCUCGGUGUAGCGGUGAAAUGCGUAGAUAUCGAGAGGAACACCUGUGGCGAAGGCGGGUCUCUGGGCCGAUACUGACGCUGAGGAGCGAAAGCGUGGGGAGCGAACAGG